UGGGGUGUGGUGUAACAGGUAACACAGCAGAUUCUGGUUCUGUAAUUAGGGGUUCGAUUCCUCUCACCCCAGCCA
rnacentral:tRNA from 1 species